rnacentral:rRNA from 1 species
UACGUAGGGGGCGAGCGUUGUCCGGAUUUAUGGGCGUAAAGAGCGUGUAGGCGGUCUGGUAGGUCCGUUGUGAAAACUCGAGCUCAACCUCGAGACGCCGAUGGAAACCCUCAGACUAGAGUCCGGAAGAGGAGAGUGGAAUUCCUGGUGUAGCGGUGAAAUGACGCAGAUAUCAGGAAGAACACCCGUGGCUAAGGCGGCUCUCUAGUACGGUACUGACGCUGAGACGCGAAAGCGUGGGGAGCGAACAGG